rnacentral:rRNA from 1 species
GACGAACGCUGGCGGCGUGCUUAACACAUGCAAGUCGAACGCUGAAGCUUGGUGCUUGCACUGGGUGGAUGAGUGGCGAACGGGUGAGUAAUACGUGAGUAACCUGCCCUUGACUCUGGGAUAAGCCUGGGAAACUGGGUCUAAUACUGGAUAUGACAUGCCACUGCAUGGUGGUGUGUGGAAAGGGUUUUACUGGUUUUGGAUGGGCUCACGGCCUAUCAGCUUGUUGGUGGGGUAAUGGCCUACCAAGGCGACGACGGGUAGCCGGCCUGAGAGGGUGGCCGGCCACACUGGGACUGAGACACGGCCCAGACUCCUACGGGAGGCAGCAGUGGGGAAUAUUGCACAAUGGGCGGAAGCCUGAUGCAGCGACGCCGCGUGAGGGAUGACGGCCUUCGGGUUGUAAACCUCUUUCAGCACGGAAGAAGCGAGAGUGACGGUACGUGCAGAAGAAGCGCCGGCUAACUACGUG